GCCAGGCUCAAAACGCAACGCCGUGAAAUCGCAUCCAUGCAAAUUUCCAAGUUAUCAAUGCAAACUGAAUUAUCCUGCUUCUUCUUCUUCUUAUACACAACAAAGUCAAGUCAGCGACGAAGGCAAAACAAUUUCUUUACAAGAAAAUCAGGAAAAAAGGCGAUAAACAGUACAAAAAAAAAAUUAUAAAAUAAAUUUUAUAUUGACAAAACAAAAAACAUGGUCUGAAAAACCAUAUUUUUUAAAAAUAUACUUGGGCGAUAUCCAAGUAAUUCCCCUGUAGUGACAAGUGAAUUAUCUUCUUUCCAAAGAAAGGAAAAACGAACCAAGGAAUAAAAUCUGGAGAAAAAAAAUAAUAUUUUUAUGUGUGUAUAUAAUAAAGAAAAAUAUUGGAAAAACUUAUUUAAAGUUUAGCAAUUCCCCCAAAAUGAGCUUCCACAGUCGCAGUUCUAGUGAAAUAGACGCCAUACCAUAUGGUGAGAUCCUGCAGAUAUGUAUCAAAGAUUUUGAAAAAGAUUUCGAUUUUGCCGAUGUCAAGGAAAAAGUACGUGAUGUUUCACAAAAACGGAGUUAGACUAUAUAGAAAAGGCGACAGGCAAAGAACAAAUUCAACAUCUAAUAUGGGUCUUGGUUGCCAAACCCGUGAGAUAAUAACACAAUUUCUCGAUGGCAUUGUCUAUGACUAUAAGUGGAUUGUGGAAAAAAUUCAAUGUGAAGUUACAAAUCAUAGCGAAAAAACAGAAUUGUAUUUGGAAAAAUUACGUGCCAUACAGAGCAAGAAUGAAGCGCACACUCAGUACAAUGUACAUCGCACAAAGCCUUUUAUGGCACUAGGGCGAAAACUUCGCCUUUUGAAUCCGAAAAAAAACCUACAACAGUGUUGUGCUCUGGGCGAUCUGG